rnacentral:lncRNA from 1 species
ACAAUGGGAGGAAGUGAGAAGUUGACAUCCAUUAAGCACAAACACUGCUGCUGCUGCUCCGACCUUUACUGAAGAAAUUAGCAACUGGCUCUCUGCACGGCUGUGCCUCCUCCCUGCCUCAGUGGGAACCACCAAACUCUUGCCGGGGGAGCACUGGAGAGAGAGUCUGAUAAGCUUUGAAAAGAGGUGGCAAGGAAAAACAGCUCCCUGUGGACACUGCCGACAUAGAAAAAGGCCAAGACUAGCAACGCCGUUGGGAAGAAGGGGAUCCAAGAAUGAAACGCUCUUCUCUGACUUCGCUCUACUCCUGACCUUCCAUUUCCUGACCUACAUCCAUCUGUGUGCAUCAGUGGAUCAUUUUUACCCCGAAUCCUCAAUGCUGAAAAGGAUCACACGCUCUUCACAAGUUUGCCAUUAAACAACUCAUAUCAAAGCAUGUCUGCUUAGAUUAAUGAUAACGAGCUAAUGCCCAGACCAGAGACUGAAACUUUCCAAAUAUCUUCUUACACACUCAACAGCCUGAAUAACUCUUUGGGGUAAAACUAUUUCUACAGCUAAUUUUUUUUCAACUCUAUCUUUCGAAACACACGCAUGUGACAGGAACAGCCAAGAUACUGUCAGUAUCUUUGAAAAAUUCUGCCUGAAACAAGGGAUCUGUAUUUAGAUAUGACUGAAGAGGAAAUCAGAUCUCUUGUUCAGCUCUCCAAAAGAUCUGUGAUGCGUUGCAUUUAAACAUGUGCUUCCUCUCACUCAGAUCUUGCUCAGAAUACCAGCAAUGCCUCUCAACUGAGAAAGCUAUUCUCAUCCUGUGCUCCUGCAAGGAUCAUAUAAACUUCCAAAUGCAUCAUGUCCUGAUCACUUAAGGUGAGGGUCAGGGAACUCAAAUGUAUGCACAAGCCAAGGUGGUGCUGGCGCUGGGCCUUGUAAAAGAGCAAAGGAGGCUGAAUGGCAAACCAGCCUAGAGGUUGUAUCAAGAACAAGGGCAAAUGGCAGCCAAUAUUGGACUUCAGGGUCAGUUAGAACAAGGGUACCUUGGAGACUGGAGCAAAAUGGAGAGGGUGGUCUCAGCUGGCCGAGCUCAGUCACCAGCUCUUCGGAUUCCAAGGUCUAAGUUCUCAAGAGUGGCUAGCAUCAAGAUUUAUGACUGAAGACUCCAAGUUAUCCAUUUUAACUUUGCGUUUAAGCAGGUCUCUUUCAUCCCUCAUUUCCUCACCUACAAAUAGGGAAAUCCCACCUAGCUCAGAGCGGGGAUUCGUGGAAAGAACAAAUGAAUGGCUCCAACACAAACAGUGCGCAAAUGUUCUUCUCCCUCCCCAAGCCUGCAGCCUCCCACUCAAGCCCCAUCCUUUUCUAGUUUAUGACCCAAAGCGACAAACGUACAAAACUGAAAUACUGGCUGAACUAAAGAGAAGCUUGAAGAAAUAGACAAGUUAUAAAUCUCAUUUCCUUUUUCUUACUCAUCAAUAUAAAUUUGCUCAGUGACAGAUUAACGAAAAAGCUAUCAAUUCCAAGAAGCUGGAUGCAAAAACCCAACAUCAAGUACACAGUAGCCCGUAUCAACAGCCAGUAAUAAUUUUUACUGCUGCCUGUUAUGCUAGUUGCCAGGACAUGUUUCUUUCUUUUUUUUUUUUAAUCUUGGAUGUUGUUUUAAAUAUAGUAAUAAAAGAAAAUAUGAC